rnacentral:tRNA from 1 species
AGAAGUAUUAGUAAAAUUUACAUAACUUUGUCAAAGUUAAAUUAUAGGUUUAAGUCCUUUAUACUUUUA